rnacentral:misc_RNA from 1 species
AACCAUAGAAACCUGCGGAGUACCUGCGGAAGGAUCAUUACAGAGUUAUCAUAAACUCCCAAAACCCUUUGUGAACGUUGCUGUUGUUGCCUCGGCGUGGGCGAGAGCUACCCUGGAGCUACCCUGUAGCCAUCCUGGAGCUCGCUGUAAGCCCCGCCGGAGGACCACUAAACUCUGGUUAAUAACUGUGUCUCUCUGAAUGCUUCAACUGAAAUCAGUUAAAACUUUCAACAAUGGAUC